AAAAAUAAUAAUUAAAUCAUCCAAUACAUUGCUGACACCUGUGGUUGUCAAAAAACGUUGUCAAAUAACGUUGUUAACAUAUCGGGAUCCUUAUAUUUAUUGUUGUUCUUGUCCUCCUCUUCUCACUCCUAAAUCCCAAUUCUCAACCCCACGCCUCGUUCAAAGCUCAAAAUCUAGAGAAUUAAUUCAAUCAAUAGUUACAACUGGCAACUUAUACUCG
rnacentral:lncRNA from 1 species